rnacentral:rRNA from 1 species
CGGGGUCAACUCGGAGGAAGGUGGGGAUGACGUCAAGUCAUCAUGCCCCUUAUGUCCAGGGCUUCACGCAUGCUACAAUGGCCGGUACAAAGGGCUGCGAAACCGCAAGGUGGAGCGAAUCCCAAAAAGCCGGUCUCAGUUCGGAUUGGGGUCUGCAACUCGACCCCAUGAAGUCGGAGUCGCUAGUAAUCGCAGAUCAGCAACGCUGCGGUGAAUACGUUCCCGGGCCUUGUACACACCGCCCGUCAAGCCAUGGAAGCUGGGAGUGCCUGAAGUCCGUCGCCGCAAGGAGCGGCCUAGGGUAAGACCGGUAACUGGGGCUAAGUCGAAACAAGGUAGCCGUACCGGAAGGUGCGGCUGGAUCACCU